AGAAAACGCAGCCAAGUAGGCAGCAAUUUUAGAGAAUUUUCAAUCUCUAAAUUUUGAAUUGUGAAGAACAACAAAUUUUGCUUAUUAAAUGGGCAUCAUGUUAGUUUUCUACUGCUACAGGAACAAAUUACCACAAACUGAACAGCUUAAAAAACACAGGGUUAUGUUCACCUGAGAGUUCUGCAGUAGUUCCUUCGUUUUUCUGGCUAUUUGGUGUGGCUUCUGUCUCUGCUAUUGGACCCUGGCAUCUGAGUGUUCUUCCUUAGGAAGCAAUGCAAAGCCAUUAGGAACGCCGUCUGCAGGGGUGAGCACGUGGCCUGCAACCUUCAAUGUCAUGUGUCUCUUUUUACUUGAGUCACCCAAAUGCUUGG
rnacentral:lncRNA from 1 species